GGCUAUACAUGCAGUCGAACGCUUCUUUCCUCCCGAGUGCUUGCACUCAAUUGGAAAGAGGAGUGGCGGACGGGUGAGUAACACGUGGGUAACCUACCCAUCAGAGGGGGAUAACACUUGGAAACAGGUGCUAAUACCGCAUAACAGUUUAUGCCGCAUGGCAUAAGAGUGAAAGGCGCUUUCGGGUGUCGCUGAUGGAUGGACCCGCGGUGCAUUAGCUAGUUGGUGAGGUAACGGCUCACCAAGGCCACGAUGCAUAGCCGACCUGAGAGGGUGAUCGGCCACACUGGGACUGAGACACGGCCCAGACUCCUACGGGAGGCAGCAGUAGGGAAUCUUCGGCAAUGGACGAAAGUCUGACCGAGCAACGCCGCGUGAGUGAAGAAGGUUUUCGGAUCGUAAAACUCUGUUGUUAGAGAAGAACAAGGACGUUAGUAACUGAACGUCCCCUGACGGUAUCUAACCAGAAAGCCACGGCUAACUACGUGCCAGCAC
rnacentral:rRNA from 1 species